rnacentral:tRNA from 1 species
UUUAGCAGCAUAAUUAGUAAUCUAAAGAGAAUAUACUAAUUUGGUAAAGUUCUUCAGAAUAUA